rnacentral:rRNA from 1 species
AUUGAACGCUGGCGGCAUGCCUUACACAUGCAAGUCGAACGGUAACAGGUCUUCGGAUGCUGACGAGUGGCGAACGGGUGAGUAAUGCAUCGGAACGUGCCCAGUAGUGGGGGAUAGCCCGGCGAAAGCCGGAUUAAUACCGCAUACGACCUGAGGGUGAAAGGGGGGGAUCGCAAGACCUCUCGCCAUUGGAGGGGCCGAUGUCAGAUUAGCUAGUUGGUGGGGUAAAGGCCUACCAAGGCAACGAUCUGUAGUUGGGCUGAGAGGAUGACCAGCCACACUGGGACUGGGACACAGCCCAGACUCCUACGGGAGGCAGCAGUGGGGAAUUUUGGACAAUGGGCGCAAGCCUGAUCCAGCAAUGCCGCGUGCAGGAAGAAGGCCUUCGGGUUGUAAACUGCUUUUGUCAGGGAAGAAAUCUUCUGGGUUAAUACCUCGGGAGGAUGACGGUACCUGAAGAAUAAGCACCGGCUAACUACGUGCCAGCAGCCGCAGUAA